rnacentral:rRNA from 1 species
AUACGGAGGGUGCAAGCGUUACUCGGAAUCACUGGGCGUAAAGGAUGCGUAGGCGGGUUGUCAAGUCAGAUGUGAAAUCCUACAGCUUAACUGUAGAACUGCAUUUGAAACUGGCAACCUAGAGUAUGGGAGGGGGAGAUGGAAUUAGUGGUGUAGGGGUAAAAUCCGUAGAUAUCACUAGGAAUACCGAAAGCGAAGGCGAUCUCCUGGAACAUAACUGACGCUAAGGCGUGAAAGCGUGGGGAGCAAACGGGAUUAGAAACCCUAGUAGUCC